CUAUCCUAAAUUCCUUGCUAAAAACAUCAUCUGAGAGGAAUAUUUAGCUUGGAUUUCCUCUUGUCAUGGUAUCAACAACACAUCCUUGCCUUUAGCAUAGAUAUUUAACUGGUUAAUAUAUAUGAUUUGCUUACUUCAUCAGCCUAUGUUUGAACAUUUUGUAUAAUAUUUUUAACUGGUCAACAUACUUGUAGAUCUACAAUUAUUAUGUUAGGUGUUAGACCCAAUGAAUAAGACCGAUCCCCAGUAAUUUGUUAAUAUCACUAAGUCAGAACCCAUACAGGAGGUGGACUGCAUACUGCAAGUGCCUCACAUUGUUGUCACAGCUGAUCUAGAGACGAUCUCCACAAAGAAAAUAUUGGGCCAGUUGACCUUCCACGGGCAUGCAUAUCAGAAUCAAAUCAAAAGCCGGAAGCUUCAAUCUUGCCUUAUUCACAUAGCUUUUCAAGAUCAAAUGAGGAUUUGCCUGAUGUGGCCCAUAGCUAGAUAUUUGCACGUGAUAGGUACUUCUUUUUGACUGCUCUAGCUAUGUAAUACACUAUAACAAUCUCUAGGAUUUUAUUUAGCCACCAGUGAAGCCUAGCAGGUAGGUGGGUCAACAGUGAACCUUUUCAAUUGUCAUUAUACCAUUGAUAUCCAAAUCUUGGAUGAGUUUUUCUUGAUUGUUCGGUGACUAAGCGUAUGUUGGUUAAUAUGAAUUUGAAUUGUACUCUGGA